AUUUAUAAAGUUUAUAAAACAUUUCAUUUUCAUUGAAAAAAGGAACUUAGUUCUAUAAAUA
rnacentral:tRNA from 1 species